GCUCAGGAUGAACGCUAGCUACAGGCUUAACACAUGCAAGUCGAGGGGUAGCAGGGUAGCAAUACCGCUGACGACCGGCGCACGGGUGAGUAACACGUAUCCAACCUUCCCAUAACUCGGGGAUAGCCUUUCGAAAGAAAGAUUAAUACCCGAUAGUACUUUUUCAAGGCAUCUUGAGAAAGUUAAAGAUUUAUUGGUUAUGGAUGGGGAUGCGUUCCAUUAGAUAGUUGGUGAGGUAACGGCUCACCAAGUCUUCGAUGGAUAGGGGUUCUGAGAGGAAGGUCCCCCACAUUGGUACUGAGACACGGACCAAACUCCUACGGGAGGCAGCAGUGAGGAAUAUUGGUCAAUGGGCGAGAGCCUGAACCAGC
rnacentral:rRNA from 1 species